rnacentral:rRNA from 1 species
UACAGAGGGGCCAGCGUUAUUCGGAAUUAUUGGCGUAAAGGGCGCGUAGGCGGCCAUGCGUGUCUUCCGUGAAAUCCCUCGGCUUAACUGAGGACGUGCGGAAGAAACUGCAAGGGCUCGAGUCCGGGAGAGGGGGGUGGAAUUCCCAGUGUAGCGGUGAAAUGCGUAGAUAUUGGGAGGAACACCGGUGGCGAAGGCGGCCCCCUGGACCGGUACUGGAC